GUCUCAAACUCCUGGUCUCAAGCCUUCAGCCUGCCUCAGCCUCCCAAAGUGCCGGGAUUACAGACAUGAGCCACUGUGCCCGGCUGACCUUUUUGACUUUUAUGUAUCAACUCCAGGAGCUGACUCAGAGAAACACACUCCUACCAAGCAGGUUUCCGAGUGCGUAAGUAUGAGGGCCUGUGAACUGCCCAAGGUCAUGCCCCUAUGGAGGUAAUGCAUAUGGGCUGAGGCAGUUUGUUCACGGCAACAGGUGAGCAGAGACCAAGUCUAGGUGCCUGACUCCUAAGUUAGUCUCUUUUUCAUGUCUCCAAACCACUUGUCUGUUCCCUACCAGACUAGAGGUCCCUUUAGAACUUGCCUUUUUAUCUUUAACUCUGCAGUGCCUGAUGCGUUACCGCAUACAGGAUGUGCACUCUGAGUAUUCAUUGACUGCAUUCUACUAGAGUCAGAGAAACAAGCUCUCCAGCUCCCAUGACGGUCCAGGCACAUAGUGGUAACAGGCGUAACUAGAGCUGAGCACUGCAAGAAGAUGUGAAAUAACCCUCUAUUUCUUUUGUACAUCUAGAUUUUCACUGUUCGACACAAAGAAUAGUUUCUCUAGGAAAAGUACUAAGCCUCAAAUUGCAAUGUAUAAUACAUGGCACAACCUCUGCUGGUGUCACAGGAAACAAUGAGGUUUUCCGAAUAUGUCUGAGAAAUGCAGUUAUUUCUACAAACGGCACAUCGAUUGUUGGAAUUCUGUACCUAACCAACAUAAAUUCUAUGACUAUGAAGGUGGUAUAUACUGUAUGAAAAUGUACAUCUUUAUAUAAAAAUAGGCAUUUCACCAAAAUUGCUAAAUGAGAACUACGUGUUCCAAGUUCUAGGUCAAUUGUCAAUGGGAAAAAUACUUGAUUUAUUUGCCACUUAUUGUAUUAUAGCUUCAAUGGGAUUCUUUCCUUUCUAACUGAGAGGUCCAGAGACGUUGUUCUCACUGGACUCUACAGGGAAAAGAAAGCCCCGUCCCAAGCCCCAGUGCAUUCCCUGGACCCAAACAGUCAUUGUAGCUAAGAGAGCAGAUUUCAUUUCAUCAAUGUACAGAUUUCUAUCUUAAAUGUUACUUCUGCCUGUUAAUACUGUAAGAAAUAAUAUAUCCAUAAAAAUAUAUUUAGGGCAAACAAACAUCACAGCCCUCUCAAAGUUUCAAAACAGAUUCAUAAUCAUUAUCCUCCCAUCUUAGCACAAAAGCUGGAGUUUAUAUGGGAUCUUCAGCUGGUCCAAGUUAUAUAGACUCUUGCCUUUUGACAAAGCAUUAAGACUUUACUUGAGAUUUUUAAAUUGCAGGUGUGUUCUCAGUAAUGCAGAAUUCAUUUUAAAUAACAUUAUAUUUUUAUUCCCUUACCGGGAUUAUUGUUUGCAAGAAACUCAGUGUUGAGGCUUCACACUGGGAAGGUGGGAGCCAGGCAGAGGCUGACAUGAGGAAACCUCCAUGGGCCAUGACCUUGGGACAUUUGCAGGCCCCCUGCUUCAAACACUCAAGAAACCUAUUUGGUAAGAAUGCAUUUCUCUGAGUCAGCUCCUCAGAUUGAUACAUGAAAUCAGAAAGCCACUUUAAUAAUUCACAAGGUAGCGGGUUACAAGUCCUAUUACACACGCUGUGAGCAUGACCAAACGUUCUCUGUCUAUACACAGGGAAGACAGUUACAGCCAAAAGGUUCGCAGUAAUCCUGGGGUCAGAACUGAGAAGCCUGGUUGCAAUGACUUACCAGUGCAUCCAUUUUUACUGUGGCCCAGAACACUGGAAGUCGGCUUUGAGACCGACUCUUUCCUAGAUAGGGAUUGGAUGGGCACUGCCAGCAGUGGACUCUGUGUCUCUCCUUUUUCUGUCACCAAUAGCCAAGUGCCCCUCCCUUCUCUGCCCCAUUCCCCAGUAGGCAGAUUCUUCCUUUAUAGAAGGCAAGACACCUAAGCAAGUCGGUCAAGUCGUGUUGACCUGACUGUCUCUUUACAAGGACAACAUGUCUGUGCUCUCAUCCAUUAUUUGACUUAGGAGGGCUGGUAGUCAGGAGGCGGUUUUGCUGCUUUCCCUCCAACUCUUGAGAUUAAAGCGCAUCUCCCAUAGAAAAGCUACUGGUCCCUUUUCUACAUUAUAGGAACCCGGAUACUUGGUUCUGUUAAUCUUGCUAAUGGAAAUAGCAUUGUUUCCAUUUUAUUUAAUAAUAUAGCUCCUUUCCUUAAACGCGUUAAACCUGUCUAACCAGCAUUCAAAUAUUUCUUUCUCUGAUCUGUAUGUCAGAUGAAUUUGAACUGUAAUUACAUUUUCCUGAUCCAUACUGCAGAAACAUCUAAGCUAACUGUGCCUCCGAAAAUGCCACACUCUUAGGUCAUCGUAGGCUGGAACUCUGGACAGAUGUCUAAGAGGUGAAUCAUGUUUAUGCAGGGGAUAACAAUGAUGGUUUUUUGAUGGCACUGAGGCAUUGGGUUCAAUCUAACACAUAUUAGGUUACAGUUGUAGGGAAAAGUUUCAAAUUUGUGGCAAAAAAGGUGAUUGCACUCUUAGGCUUUUUGUUUCCAACCAAUGUAAUAAUAUAUUGUCGUCUUACUGCAAUUACAAUUCAGUAAUACAAAUACAAUUUAUAAUCAUGUAUUCAUUUGUUUUAUCUACUAUGUGCUGGGCCCAGUAGAGUAUAGGACAAGGCAGACACUGUCCUCAAAAUCAGGAAGCAACUCUAGCUAAUGUUUCCUGGCACUUUUUAAGAAUUAGUAGAGACAAAGUAAACAAGUGCUUUUUAGAGUUCAUUUAUCAGAAAUCAGAAAUAACUUGCUGGAUGUCAGUCCAGUUAGGAAAGGUGAGAAAAGCAUUUUAUUCCUUUUUAAGGGUGACCACAAAAUCCAUAUAUUGGAAAUGUCAAAGUUAAUAUUACAUAUUAAUCACAUGCAUUGAUUAUAUUACACAUGCAUAUAUAUGUGUAUAUAUAUGUAUAUAUCUUUUUAGGUAAAAUAUGUGGGAUAGUCCCACAAGCUCUUAUCUGAGGCCCCAUGGGGCAAGAUGUGUUUGGGGAUUUAGAAUCUGGGGAUUUUAGGAAGGUAAUAUGGUUCAUAUACUAGAUAUUACAUAACACCUAAGCAGAUAUCAGAUAUUACAUAACACCUAAGCAGGGUCCAGAUCAGCAUCUUAUAAUCAAACAUUGGUGUCUCUACUGUGAAAUGUAUGAUUAUUCACAGUAAGCGGGUAAAUAAUGACUAUAAAUAGCCUUAUACCACUUCAAGUCAGAUCUUGCUGCCAAAUGAGUUCAAGUAAGGUCACGUGUGCUGCCAGAUGAGUUAUGGAAAAAAACUCUUAUCUUCAGAGCUUUCUGGAUUUGGGAAUUUGGAAUAAGAAGUUGUGGACCUAUAUUAUGGAAUGUUCUUUUAUAGAAAACCAUCGACUGUUUAGGAAAGGCAAUAAAAUAUAUUUAAACCUACCAGUUACAUUACAUGAAUUGAUUUAGUAAUAAUACUAUUCAGCAAUUAAUUAAUUUGAGAAUAAACACUUAUUUAAAUAGUGGCAAUUCCAGGGAGAUUUUGAACCAGCUAAGGUUACAUCCUGCUAGCAGGUAUUAAUAGCCAAAGGCAUGAUUGUGAUGCAGAGACAACUUUUUUUUGGAAACAAUCCACAGUAGUCAAUAUAUUAUAUAGCCAACCUCUGUUUUGCAGAGACCAGCCUAUCAGCUAAGAAAAUAUCUUUGGUGAAUACAAUGCUGAUUUCAAAGAAUCUCAGAAUUGGAAGUGACUUUAAAAAAAUCACUGUAGCCCAACCAUCUCUCAGAGCAAAGAUUCUUCUUAUUCUUGAGACAUCAACCCCUUUAAGAUUACAAAAGAAAAGGAAAGAAAAAGAAAAAAGGCUAUGCUUCAUCCCAGAAAAAUGCACAUAAUCUACAUAUGAAAAUCAUCACAACUAUUUUCAAGGGGUCCAUUAAGAUUCCUGCCUUAGAUUCUUGCCGUGUUUGAAAAGAAAGCUAAGGUAAAAUUUCACAGCAAUCUUAGUACUGUAAAAUAAAGAGAGCUGCUUUAUUUUAAGCUGCCUUAUAAAUUACCUGUGGUCAUAUGUCUUAGUGUCUUCUCUGACAUUUAUCUCAACUUAUGAUUUUCUAUGCAGUAUUUAUAAGAUAAAUAUUUUGAACUCAUUGUGACCCUUGUUUUUAUCUUAAAGGUUGGAAAGAGGAAAAGUAAUGACAUUUUAGCUUUUCUCUUUGUAUUUUUACAUUCCAUAUCAUCCAUAACUCAGAGGGGUGAAAAAAGAAAAAGAAAUUCUCUAAGGAAAAGGCCUAAAAUGUCCUACUAGUAAAUGUAUCAAGCAUCAAUUUUCAGUUUGACAUUAACUGAGAAAGGAAAUGAAGUAAAUUUUCUAAGUGUUGAGCUGUCACAGGAAAAAGGAUUUAUAUUAGUCUCUGGCAUGAAAUCAUGAUUUAGAUUUGUCAGUAUUAGGUACACAAUUUCUUUUUUUUGACAUUUGUAGGAGACUGAGGGGAGGGUUCCGGGUGUGUUGCAGUUACACUUCCUUCUGCACUUUCAUCUGAACUGUUCAUGAAGAGCGUCCUUUUCAGCCUAAGUGUCUGAACGAGGCUCACCAACCUGCCAAGAGGCAGUGCUAUGGCAGAUCUGCAGCAGUGCAUGAACCCCCAGCCAUACUGAUUUCUAAGUGAGCAAUGGCUUCCUCCACGCAUGGAUAGGAAAACUUUCCUUGAGCUUCUUUCCAUUCAAUCUAGCAAAAUGGAACAUAAAUGGUCCCAAGUACAAGCCGGAUCCCACCUGAAGUCACCUAUUAACUUGGCUCCAUCCAACAGCUUGCCUCACUGUCUUCACUUGCACACAAGGAAGGCCAAGCCAGGGAAACACCAGGUAGGCUGGAAAAAUAAGCCUAGGUGAUUGGUUUCUGGCCCAUCAUGCAAUAUUUCUUAUCAGGUUUUGCAACUGGGCUUUGGCUGGGCCUUAGCCCAGAGUCUAGGGAGAAUGGAGAGCUCCUCCUUAGAUUAAGUGGCCAAGGGGUGUGGAGGUUUUCCUCUCACAUUGUUACCAUUGAGGACCAUUUCUUCUCCCCUCCCAGUAGGAGAAAAACACUCAGUCAUAAUAAUUAAUGUACUUUGGAGCUAUUUGGUGUCAAAAAAAUGCCAUGAAGAUUAUAGAACACAGAAUCUGAAACAACCUUGAGAACAGUAUGCUGAGUCAAAGAACCAGACACAAAAGGCACAUCUUGCAUGAUUCCAUUUAUAUGAAAUAUCCAAAAAAGGCAAAUUCAUAGAGACAGAAUGUAGACUAGUAGUUGCCAGGGGCUGGGAGGAGGGGGAGGAAAGGGUAACUGCUUAAUUCGUCUGUGGUUUCUUUUUGGGGUGACGAAAACAUUGUGGAACUAGAUAGUGGCAGUGGUUACACAACCUUUUGAUUAUACGAAAUGCCACUGAAUUGUGAGCUUUAAAAUGCCUAAAAUGCUGAAUUUUAUGUUAUGUGUCUUUUACCACAAUAAAAAGAAAAAUCCUAUAGAGUUCUUUUCCAUUAGGCUCGCAAUUUGUUUAGAUAAACAAAAUCAUGUAAAACCAAAACUGGGGAAGCUAUUUUAAUAAAAGAGAAAGGAAGAAAAUUACUGUCACCUGAACAACGGUGAAGUAUAUUUUUAUCAGAGUUUAACGCAUGCAGGGAGGAAUCAGUCUUCAUAAGCCAAUGCGAUUUCUUCUUUUCACAGAUAAAGAAGUUAAGACUUUUGUGGUAACCUGGUCUUCAGGAGCAGACAUCUAGAUUUGAGUCUUUUUCUAGCCAGAUUUAUGGGCUAUGUGACUUAAGUGCAGUUACCUAGGCUCUCAGAACCUCAGUUUCCACAUCAGUAAACUGAAAAUAUCUAGGGCUGAUCUUCUGAAAAUAUCAUCAGACAUCACGAUUCACCAAAGCCAAAUCAAUUAGAAGUUACUUCAAGAAGAGAGAAUACCACCAUGAUGAAGUCUCAGCAGUGCCUCAUAAGAAGGAAGUCAAAAUGGAUAUUUAUAGGGUUUCGGCACCUAGGGGCACAUAUGAUUCACAGCAGGUCUUUCAAGGUGCAACCGGUUGAGAUUGGUCAGGCUUUGCAACAUAAUAGUGUAAGAUUGGCCGGCUUAGCAGCACAAAGGUCUUGAAGCAAGUCUUGACAAGUGAACUGUUCUUUGAAUAGCCAGCUGCUUGCCUGUUGUCUCAGAUAAAUUCCUACAGCAAUUUUCUGAAGCAAACUGUGCAGUUAUUUAUUGAUUUACAGACUUACUCCUGUUGAGGGAAGAGUUCCUGGAACAAACAGCUAAAUUGUGAUAACACAGGUGGUCUCAGUUUCAGUCCUCAGUCUGUCAUGUCUGAUACUGGCUGGAGUUCCCAGAGAUGCUAUGGUCACGUGUCAAGCACAUAGCCUGGGCACUCAAUAAAUCCUUCGUUUUUCCCCAAAGCAUCACCACCAUUCCCUCUCAAAACUCGCUCCUUGAUAGUGAAUCUCUGUCAGAACUAGAAGCAAGGUUUGUGCUGUACAGACUGGAACCCUUCCUGCCAUCCACUGUCGGACUGGGCUCCACUUCUUUGGUCAAAGACAAAUUCAUUCAGCUACAAUAAAAAGUCCGAAGUCUUUUCACCACUCUGAAUGAGGCAGCAGCAGAACACAGGGUUAUGAUGCUGACAGACCAAGGCCCUAGGUUCCCUGUCGCUUGAUUUGUGACCCUAGGCCCGUUAUCUCCCUCUUUCAGCCUCACUUCCUCAUCCAGAAGAUGAGGACGAUUGUGCUUAGCACACAAUACAUAUUCGGCUAACUUUUUAAAUUAAGUCAAUUGUUGUCUUAAAUUUUAUUUAAAUUUUUUUUCUAAGAUUGCAUAAAGAUGAAAUUUUCUUGUUUUGUUUCCAUUUGUUUCCGGUUGUCCCUUAUCUUCUGGGAGGACCUGGGUUACGGCUCCCUGGACAUGAAGGAAUCAGUCUUUCAUGUGGGAUCCUGGGCCUGACCUGUUCAGAGGGAGAAUGCGGAAUCUCAUGGGACAAGGGAAAUUCAAGCUUUCAAAUCUACGGAGCCCCAGGACAUGGGAGACUAUUAAGUUCACUAGAGCAGAAGAUCUUUAAAUAGUAGCCCCUGGAGCCCUGAUGACACAGAAAGAAUUCUCAAGGUCUCCUAGAGAAAAUACUCCAUCAACUUUACGGCCAACAUGAGAUUUUGAAGAAGGGAAGACAAGUGCAACCGGUUGAGGACGGUGCACAGAGGGCUUCUAAAUUCUUCAGCAGUUUGUAGUGCGACAGACAAGUUUUUCCAUGGAGCAGUCCAACCUCUGUUGCUGCAAGACCUGUUUUUUUUGUUUUUUUUUUUUAAACAAGUCAGUAAACUAACUGGAACUUC